rnacentral:rRNA from 1 species
GGGGAAAGGUGGGGGACCGCAAGGCCUCACGCGAAUGGAGCGGCCGAUGUCAGAUUAGCUAGUUGGUGGGGUAAAGGCCCACCAAGGCGACGAUCUGUAGCGGGUCUGAGAGGAUGAUCCGCCACACUGGGACUGAGACACGGCCCAGACUCCUACGGGAGGCAGCAGUGGGGAAUUUUGGACAAUGGGCGCAAGCCUGAUCCAGCCAUGCCGCGUGCGGGACGAAGGCCUUCGGGUUGUAAACCGCUUUCAGCCGGAAAGAAAUCGCCGUUUUAAUACAGACGGUGGAUGACGGUACCGGAAGAAGAAGCACCGGCUAACUCUGUG